rnacentral:rRNA from 1 species
UGGGGAAUUUUGGACAAUGGGCGAAAGCCUGAUCCAGCAAUGCCGCGUGUGUGAAGAAGGCCUUCGGGUUGUAAAGCACUUUUGUCCGGAAAGAAAUCCGUCUGGCUAAUACCCGGACGGGAUGACGGUACCGGAAGAAUAAGCACCGGCUAACUACGUGCCAGCAGCCGCGGUAAUACGUAGGGUGCGAGCGUUAAUCGGAAUUACUGGGCGUAAAGCGUGCGCAGGCGGCUUUGUAAGACAGAUGUGAAAUCCCCGGGCUCAACCUGGGAACUGCAUUUGUGACUGCAAGGCUAGAGUGCGUCAGAGGGAGGUGGAAUUCCGCGUGUAGCAGUGAAAUGCGUAGAGAUGCGGAGGAACACCGAUGGCGAAGGCAGCCUCCUGGGAUGACACUGACGCUCAUGCACGAAAGCGUGGGGAGCAAACAGG